CCUACGGGAGGCUGCAGUGAGGAAUAUUGGUCAAUGGGCGUAAGCCUGAACCAGCCAAGUCGCGUGAGGGAUGAAGGUUCUAUGGAUCGUAAACCUCUUUUGUAAGGGAGUAAAGUGCGGUACGUGUCCAGUUUGGUAUGUACCUUAUGAAUAAAGAUCGGCUAACACCGUGCCAGCAGCCGCGGUAAUACGGAGGAUCCGCGCGUUAUCCGGAUUUAUUGGGUUUAAAGGGUGCGUAGGCGGCCUUUUAAGUCUGCGGUGAAAGUCUGUGGCUCAACCAUAGGAUUGCCGUUGAAACUGGGAGGCUUGAGUAUGUUUGAGGUAGGCGGAAUGCGUGGUGUAGCGGUGAAAUGCGUAGAUAUCACGCAGAACCCCGAUGGCGAAGGCAGCCUGCUAGGCCAUGACUGACGUUGAUGCACGAAAGCGUGGGGAUCAAACAGGAUUAGAUACCCCAGUAGUC
rnacentral:rRNA from 1 species